rnacentral:rRNA from 1 species
UUUUAAGGUGUUAUUUUGAUUUUUUGUUAUUUAUUUUUGAAGGAAUAAUGCUUAUUUUUAUUAUUUUUGUUUGAAAAAAUAUUUUUAAUGAUAGUUAAUAGUAUCGAGAGAGAAGUUCUUAAAAAUUUUAAAAGAAGAUUUCAUUUGUUGUACCUUGUGUAUCAGGGUUAAUUAAAUUAUGAGUUAAGUUUAGUUUUUCCCGAAUUCAAAAGAGCUAUAAUAUUAUUUAUUUUACUGUGGAAUAAGUAUUUUUAAUUAUAUUAUGGUAAUGAAACGUUAUUCGUUUUUGAGUAUAUCUGGUUUUCUAAGAAAUUAAUUUAAUUUAGUCGUUAAGUAAAAUUAAUUUAAUUUUUUAAUUUAAUUUUUUUUAUCGAUUAAUACUUAAUGGGAUAAGCUUUUAAGUAAAUUGUUAUAAAUAUUUAUUUUAGAUUGAUUUGUAGGAUUGGAAUUUUCCACCAAUUUAAGGAUGUUUUAAUUUAUCUUUUUAUUAUUUGAUUUAUAUUUAUUUUAACUUUUUUAUUAGGAUUUAUACUUUAAUUUUUUUUGUUUAGUAAUUAUGAUUGAAUUAGUAUAGUUUAUUGUAUACAUAUAUUUGUUGUUUAAGGUUAAUUUAAGGAACUCGGCAAUAUUAAUUUUCACCUGUUUAUUAAAAACAUGUCCUUUUGAUUAAUGAUUUAAGGUCAGGCCUGCCCAAUGAUUAUUUAAAUGGCCGCAGUAUAUUGACUGUGCAAAGGUAGCAUAAUCAUUAGUUUCUUAAUUAGAAGCUGGAAUGAAUGGUCCGAUGAGAAAUUGACUGUCUCAAUUUAAAUGUAUUAGAAUUUUAUUUUUGAGUGAGAAAGCUUAAAUUUUUUAGAAAGACGAGAAGACCCUAUAGAGUUUGAUGUUUAUUUUAAUAAAAUUUUUGAGGUUUAUUAUUAUAUUUUAUUAUUAUAAGUAUUUUGUUGGGGUGACAUAAAAAUUUGAUUAACUUUUUAUUAUUUUUACAUUGAUUAAUGGUUUUUUGAUCCUAUUAUUUAGAUUAUAAGAUAAAAUUACCUUAGGGAUAACAGCGUAAUUUCUUCUGAAAGUUCUUAUUGACGAGGAAGAUUGCGACCUCGAUGUUGGAUUAAAAUUUAUUUUUGGUGUAGCAGCUAAAAUAUUAGGUCUGUUCGACCUUUGAAAUUUUACAUGAUCUGAGUUUAAACCGGUGUGAGCCAGGUUGGCUUCUAUCUUUUAUUAGUUAGAAUAUUUUAGUACGAAAGGACCAAUUAUUCAAAUUAUAUUUUGUUUUUUGAUUAUUAUU